CAAAUGCAAAUACAAUACCAACAACCUAUCUACAACAUGACCAACAUAAUGAAGGAAAUUGAAUUAGAGAACAACUCAUUCAAAGAUUUUAAAUUGUUAGCUGAAGUGAAAACUGAUUGUUACAUGUCAUGAAUUUAAUAAUUGAGGUUAAACAUAAUGGGCCUUGAUCUGUUUUAUUCUAUCUCUAAUGCUUUGUUUGAUCUUUUCUGAGGAAUAAGCCUUUCUUCCAUUAUAUUCAUUCUCUACAGCUCUUCCAACAUGAAGUAAUGGUCUUAUGCUAUUGAAUUACUUUCAACUAUUUUUUUCUUUAAAACAAUUAUACUACAAUAAGAAAUAAAAGUCCC
rnacentral:lncRNA from 1 species